UACGUAGGGGGCAAGCGUUGUCCGGAUUUAUUGGGCGUAAAGAGCGUGUAGGCGGCCAUACAGGUCAGCUGUGAAAACUCGAGGCUCAACCUCGAGACGUCGGUUGAAACCGUAUGGCUAGAGUCCGGAAGAGGAGAGUGGAAUUCCCGGUGUAGCGGUGAAAUGCGCAGAUAUCGGGAAGAACACCCGUGGCGAAGGCGGCUCUCUGGGACGGUACUGACGCUGAGGAGCGAAAAGCAUGGGGGAGCGAACAGG
rnacentral:rRNA from 1 species